UGGUUAUCAAUCUUAUGGCUGGUCUUUUAUUAAUAAACAAUCAAUUACAUAAACUAAAACAAAAAAAUAAAAAAAUAAAAAAAUACAUGAACUAAAAUAACAAACAAGAAUAUGAAUAAAAAAAAGUAUAUGAGCUAAAACAACAACCACUAACAACCUAAUUGUAUACUUAACAUGGGCACAAUAUACAUGAAUGUCUACAUUUUAAUUAUUAAAUGGCCCACAUUACAAUGCCAUGAAAAUUCCUUUGUUGCCAUUGUUUCUCU
rnacentral:lncRNA from 1 species